rnacentral:rRNA from 1 species
UACGUAGGGUGCGAGCGUUGUCCGGAUUUAUUGGGCGUAAAGAGCUCGUAGGCGGUUUGUCGCGUCGGCCGUGAAAUCUCCACGCUUAACGUGGAGCGUGCGGUCGAUACGGGCAUGACUGGAGUUCGGCAGGGGAGACUGGAAUUCCUGGUGUAGCGGUGAAAUGCGCAGAUAUCAGGAGGAACACCGGUGGCGAAGGCGGUUCUCUGGGCAUGAUCUGACGCUGAGGAGCGAAAGUGUGGGGAGCGAACAGG